rnacentral:rRNA from 1 species
AUUGAACGCUGGCGGAAUGCUUUACACAUGCAAGUCGAGCGGGGUGAUGGUGCUGGCACUAUCACUUAGAGGCGGACGGGUGCGUGAUGCUUAGGAAUCUGCCUAUUAGUGGGGGACAAGAUCUCGCAAGGGAAGCUAAUACCUCAUACGUCCUACGGGUGAAUGCAGGGGAUCAGUUGUGACAUAGUGCUAAAACACGAGCCCAAGUCGGAUUAGCGAGUUGGUGGGGUAAAGGCCUACCAAGGCGACGAUCUGUAGCGGGUCUGGGAGGAUGAUCCGCCACACUGGGACUGAGACACGGCCCAGACUCCUACGGGAGGCAGCAGUGGGGAAUAUUGGACAAUGGGGGGAACCCUGAUCCAGCCAUGCCGCGUGUGUGAAGAAGGCCUUAUGGUUGUAAAGCACUUUAAGCGAGGAGGAGGCUCUUUUGGUUAAUACCCAAGAUGAGUGGACGUUACUCGCAGAAUAAGCACCGGCUAACUCUGUGCCAGCAGCCGCCGUAA